CCUACGGGGGGCAGCAGUGGGGAAUAUUGGACAAUGGGCGAAAGCCUGAUCCAGCCAUGCCGCGUGUGUGAAGAAGGCCUUCGGGUUGUAAAGCACUUUCAGUGGGGAAGAAAGCCUUGGGGCUAAUACCCUCGAGGAAGGACAUCACCCACAGAAGAAGCACCGGCUAACUCCGUGCCAGCAGCCGCGGUAAUACGGAGGGUGCGAGCGUUAAUCGGAAUUACUGGGCGUAAAGCGCGCGUAGGCGGUCUGAUAAGCCGGUUGUGAAAGCCCCGGGCUCAAUCUGGGAACGGCAUCCGGAACUGUCAGGCUAGAGUGCAGGAGAGGAAGGUAGAAUUCCCGGUGUAGCGGUGAAAUGCGUAGAGAUCGGGAGGAAUACCAGUGGCGAAGGCGGCCUUCUGGACUGACACUGACGCUGAGGUGCGAAAGCGUGGGUAGCAAACAGGAUUAGAUACCCCGGUAGUC
rnacentral:rRNA from 1 species